rnacentral:ncRNA from 1 species
UUAAACGAGAGUUUGAUCCUGGCUCAGGAUGAACGCUGGCGGCGCAUUUAAGACAUGCAAGUCGAACGAA